AUGCAGCCAUAUCACGUUGAAACACCGGUUCCCAUAUAAUCAUUGAAGUUAAGCAACAUCAAGUCUGGUCAGUACCUAGGUGGAUGACCACUUGGGAAUAACA